UCCUACGGGAGGCAGCAGUAGGGAAUAUUGGUCAAUGGAUGGAAGUCUGAACCAGCCAUGCCGCGUGCAGGAAGAAGGCCUUCUGGGUUGUAAACUGCUUUUGCCAGGGGAUAAAAAACUCAUGCGUGAGAAAUUGAAGGUACCUGGUGAAUAAGCCACGGCUAACUACGUGCCAGCAGCCGCGGUAAUACGUAGGUGGCAAGCGUUGUCCGGAUUUAUUGGGUUUAAAGGGUGCGUAGGCGGCCUUGUAAGUCAGUGGUGAAAUAUCUCAGCUUAACUGAGAGGGUGCCAUUGAUACUGCAGGGCUUGAGUACAGAUGAGGUAGGCGGAAUUGACGGUGUAGCGGUGAAAUGCAUAGAUAUCGUCAAGAACUCCGAUAGCGAAGGCAGCUUACUAAGCUGUAACUGACGCUGAGGCACGAAAGUGUGGGGAUCAAACAGGAUUAGAUACCCCGGU
rnacentral:rRNA from 1 species